GAUCUGGUCAAGGGCCCACACUCCCCCAGAGCACUCCAGGAUUUUGAGACGAAAUAAAUAAAUAAGGCCUUGAGAAAAAUGUAAACGAGCUUUACCUUUAAAGAGUUGUGCUGGAAACUCGGAUGAGACCCAUCAAGAGGAGAUUCUGAAAAUCUCACGGCCAGGUGCGGUGGCUCACGCCUGAAGAUUACGCCAGCACUUUAGGAGGCCGAGGCAGGCGGAUCAUGAGGUCAACAUUUCGAGACCAGCCUGGCCAGCAUGGUGAAACCUCGUCUCUACUAAAAAUGCAAAAAAAAUAGCGGGGCAUGGUGACGCGCGCCUGUAAUCCCAGCUACUCGGCAGGCUAAGGCAGGAGAAUUGCUGAACCCGGGAGGCAGAGGUUGCAGUCAAGAUGGUGCCAUUGCACUCCAGCCUGGAUGAUGGGGCAAGACCAUCUCAGAAAAAAAAAAUAAAAGAAAAUCUCACAGCCUAGGUCCACACUCCCCUUGACAUCAGUCUCCCACUUCAGACCAGGCCCCUUAGUUCCUCCACUUCACUCAUUUUACUGACUGCCUACAGGAGAUCGAGUUUUCCAUCCCUAAUUAGACAAAUAAAUUAAGAAGAUAAUUUUUACUGAAUACCUAUUACAUGCCAGACACUGUGCUAUGCACUUAAAUGGGUUAAUUCAUUGGAUCCUCAUUACAGCACAUAACAACCCUAUGGGUUGGAUGGCAUUCUGAGCCCCAAUUUGCAAAGGUGGAAACUGAGGCAUAGAGUGACCUGCCCAAGGUGACACAUCAGUAAGUGGCAGUGUUGGAUUCCAACACUGACAGAGCUUUCUUUCUUAACCACACCCACCCACUGCCGCAUUGAGAAUCACUGAGAAUGCAGUGUAUGCUAGGGAUCUUGAAUUAUAAAGGAGUGCCUCUCAGGUGGAAUUCAUGGCAAUUCAUCCUUCCUGGUGACAGUUCAGGUAAAGUAGUGGGUGGGGAAAAUAUUACCGGGUGGGGAUCAUCCCAACAUUCCUUGUGUGCACACACGAUUACAUGGCCAUCUUCUCUAGGUGGGUAUUAAGAGAGCCAAAUGAUGCCUGCUGUUUGAUUUUAUUCUAAAGUUAUCCAUUGGAAGCCCUCCCACUAACCAGGCUCUUGUCAUGUAAUCCUCAAGACAAUGAGCAAGGAUGGGUAGGUUUUACAGACGAGGACACUGAGGCUCAGAGAAAACAGUUCACCCAAGCAAGUCACAUGGGCUAAAGGUGGGGCAGGGCUGGAGUCAGGAUUCCUGGAAGAGAAUGUGGUCACCUCCUUCAGGAUUACUGCUGUCUGUCUAAGAACAGGGCUCAACCUAGAAACACAUCACAACAGCAGAGGGGGUCGAAGCAAUAUAGGGACAUGUCACAGGGAGAAAUUAACUUCCAAAAGCACAAAGGACUUCCUCAAAAAAGAAGCUUUUGACUAGGGCCUUGGAGAAAGAACAGCACUUCCACAGAUAGCCAUGAAGAGAAAGGUAUCCUGGGCAAAGUCUGGCAUGAGGGAAGGCUGGCAUGAGGAAAGUGCGGGUCUCAGCCAGACUCCAGAACAGGUGUGUCUCUCAUACAAAUGAUAUAUAAAGGGUUAUGGCUUGGGCCCUUAUCCCCCUCCCCUCCAAUUUCAUUUUUGUCUUUUUGCUUAUUAAUGCCAAGAAUGUACCUUGUAUAGAGCUUAACUUGAACGCUCUUAUAAGUAGGAUUUCAUUAGCUCCUCUAAACAGCCCUGAAAGGUAGUUAGGGUAGGUGGGUAGGUAGGCAGAGAUUAUACAACUGACACCAAAAGAUUUCAAAUAAAUGCCUAUUGAAUAAAUGAAUGAAUGAAUGGCUUGCCCAAGGCCACCAGCACUAAAUGGGAGAAUAGGGACUAAGUCUCAUUUUGCUGCCUCCAAAUCCCAAACUCUUUUCAGUACCGUACACAUCUGGGGGCCUUAGCAGUGCCAUUGUGUGUGUGUAUUGGGGGGUAGGGAAUUAGAUUCAUUAUUGUGUUUUAUACUGUGCUGAUCACUUGAAAAAACUCCGGGCAGGAGAACAAUACAAGCAUUCAUUAAAGUACUUCAAUAGACUGACAGCAGCAACAAUAACCUAAAGUUAAAUGAAGCAGAGAAUCUCAUGUGAGUCUUCUCUUGAGGAGUCCAGUGCCAAGGCACCAGGCCUUCAGGAAGUAGAAUGGGACUCCCCAGAAGAAAGACAAAGCAGAGAUUUACCAAACCUUGUUGGGGGUCGGAGACAGCAGGCUAGGAGGAUCCCCACCAGCCAGGCAACAAAACCCUAGGACCACAGUCCUCUGGGCAGCUUCCAAAAGCCUCCACAGUUCAUGAGUAGCUGUAAUUUACUAGUAACCA
rnacentral:lncRNA from 1 species